UACGUAGGGGGCAAGCGUUGUCCGGAAUCAUUGGGCGUAAAGAGCGCGUAGGCGGUCCGGUAAGUCCGCUGUGAAAGUCAAGGGCUCAACCCUUGAAUGCCGGUGGAUACUGUCGGGCUAGAGUCCGGAAGAGGCGAGUGGAAUUCCUGGUGUAGCGGUGAAAUGCGCAGAUAUCAGGAGGAACACCAAUAGCGAAGGCAGCUCGCUGGGACGGUAUUGACGCUGAGGCGCGAAAGCGUGGGGAGCAAACAGG
rnacentral:rRNA from 1 species